AACUGGAAAUAAGGAAUGACCUAUUUGAAAAGAAAAUUGGAAAACUUUGACAAAAGUAUAAAAAAUAGAGACCAGGCCACGUUGGAUUGCCACAUCAGUAGCGCGGCCAGUCACCGUGCGCCGCAUGGCAGACACAUGGAUAUGCAUCCAUGCAUGAAGCCACAUGGGCAACCUGCGUGCCAACAGAUCCAACUGCCCAGAUCUACUUCCACACACAUGAACGAC
rnacentral:lncRNA from 1 species